CUUUGAUUCAUGGGUAAGACUUAUGAAUCAAGGAACUCCAUAAAAGAGGAAUGUUCCUGAUGAUGUCACAGCUGUACUCAGAUUAUCUGCAAAUGUUUUUCUUCCAUCAUAUCCAACUGCAAAGUAAGUCUCAAAUCCCAUCUUCUCCCUUCUUUCCUUGGGUGAUCCAAUACUCUGUGUUCACUCUGUAAAACUCUCUGCUGCACAAGUCUCUAAAUCACAUGCUCUUCAUGACCACUCAAAAACCACUCAUAAUGGCCACUGAGAAUACAAAGUUGGAUACAACAGCCCCAAAUCCCAAGAUGUCGAGAGGCAAGGACGAAGACAGGCACAAACUGCUGGUAUCUUUAAAAUUCCCUCUGUUUAAAUGUUCCUUUUGAAAUAGCUUUAAAAUUUCAAAUGCAGAAAGUAGAAGCAGUCCUUCUAUUCCUCUAUCUCUAUACAGUUAUGUUAAAACUUUUUCAUACGUCCUUCCAGAUAUGUUUUUAUUUAAUAAUUCAUAUAUUCAUUUUAGAUUGUCAUGUAGCAACAUACAAAUACAUAAACAAUGUUUUACUAUUUAAAUUAUACAUGUACAAAAAUUCCAAAAAAUGGUAAAAUAAUCACCAUUAAAAUAACACUGACCAGUAAGCAUUACUUAACACGAUAAUCAUACCAGGAUAAUCCCAUUCCCCAGGAAUAGUAACCAUUAACACUUCAGUUUGAAAAACUGGAGGCAUAUAGACACCAUUGUAAACACAAUUAAUUGAUGUUUGUUCAAAAAUGACAAUUUUAAAUAUGACCUAAAAACAGCCUUCCAUACGAGAAUUUUUUUUUCAGUAUUUGAAUUACAUUCAUGUGACCAAUAAGCUGUAAUCACUACGACCUUUUAUUGAUGAGGAUUUCAGAUGUUCAAAUUAUUUGUCAUCUCAAUCUACAAAACAUACUUUCUUCUUUGAGAGUUGCAAUAGAUAAAAUCAAGAGCAAGUUAUACCAUUUUAAAAGUUUUACAUACUCAAUUAUUAUCGUCAGUGCCAAACUGUUUAAAAAGGUACACUGAUUUAUACUUUGAUGAACACUGAAUAGAAUCUAAGAAAUUUUCAUAAUUUAUAUUAGAGGCAACUGAGAUGAAAGACUUUUGACAUUUGUUUCUGACUAUCACAUAUCAAAUAUAACUAUUCACUGGAAAAUUUUAAAGGUCCUCAAAAAUUUUUUAAAAUAUUCAUUAUCAGAGGAAUUCUGUUCACAUAUAUGUGUAUAUAUGGAAACAGACUAGGAAACAGAUACAGAGCUACUUAAUCAUUUUAUAUAAAAAAUUAACAUACAUGUAGCUAUAACAUGAAGUGGGCCUCUAGAAAUGUUUAAGCUUAGAAUUAAAAUACUAUCUCCAUUGUUUUCAAAAAAAAUGUGAAGCAAUAAGUUAACAAAUGACAAAAGAGAGUAUUAUCAAAUCUAUAUCCCUAAAAGUAAUUUUACCUGUAUAUGUGUAUAUAUACCUUUAUAUCUAUGCAUAUACAUAUAUAAAUUUGUAAAGAGUAAAUUUAUAUAGUAUAGCAAAGUGACAAUUACUUUAGCAAUGUGAGAAUCUCCUGUGAAUCUGUGAUUUAAAAUGAUGAUUCCUUCUCAUGUCUUCCUUUUUCUUCCUAAAAUUAAAAAUACAUCCAGGGGUAUUUUUCUUUGUUUGUUCUAAGUAUACAAUCUAAUGUUUUCUUCUACAUGAAAGCUUAACAAUCUGAGGGGAUGUGUCUAUCUCUCUUCCCAAAACUCAGUGAACAAACACCAAAAUGUUAAACAGCCCUAAGAGGCCAAUUAUUAAUUAAUUACACAGCCAAAACAUUUACAUGAGACAAUUUAUGAUAUUUUACAAUGAAAUAUUUACAGAUUUAUGUUUGUGAAACUCCAUUCAUCUAGAAAAACCACAUUCUUUCAAAAUACUACAUCUGUUAUUUACAAAGUUGUCUUGAAUGUUGUCAUGCAGUUGAAAUACAAAACUAUCAUUCAAAGAGGGAAAACAAAAUUUCUUAUAUAACAUUUCCUAUGUUUAAAGUAUAUAAUGCCCAAUAUCAAGCAGUACAACUACAAAAUUAUGACUUAGAUAUCAAUUUCACUAAGACAUUGGAAAGAAAAUAAUGAAACCAUGAUAUUUUACAAUGAAUUAUUUACAAAAUUAUACUUUGUGAGACUCUACACAUCUAGAAAAACUAGAUGUUAAAAAUUAAAAAUUUACAUCCUAUUAUUUACAAAGUUGUCUUGAAUAUUGUCAUGCAACCAAGGGAACACAUACAGAACUGUGUAUAGUUCCAAGAGGUAGUAGAAAAUCUCCUUGAUAAAGUCAUUUAUAUGCUGAAUGUUAAAAACAAAAGAAAAAAAUAUAUGGGGAGGUAUGAAUAGGCAGAGCACGGAGGACUUUCGGGGCAGUGAUGGAUCCAAGUUAUCACAGAUUUGUCCAAACCCAUAGAAUGUACAACACCAACAGUAAACCGUAACAUAAACUAUGAGUUUUGAGUGAUUGCAAUGUAUCAAUGUAGGUUCACCAAUUGUAACAAAUGUACUACUCUGUUGGAGAAUGCUGAUAAAGGGGAUGAUUACAGAUGUGUUGCGGUAAAAGGUCUAAGGGAAAUCUCUGUACCUUCCCUUCAAUUUUGCUGUGAACCUAAAACUGUUCUAAAAAAAUUAAGCAACAUUAAAGAAAUAAGUGAGGAAGUUCACUACAUCCAGAAAUACCACAUAAAUUUACAUUGUCUAAGUUUUUUUAAUAUACAAUUCAUAUUUGAUACAAUAGAAACUAUUCUUCUAUAUGAGAAUGAGGUAAACGCAAAAUCCUGUCAAUUCCUUCUAACGACCAAAUUAAUAUACGAUUAAUUUUGUAUAACCCCAAGAGUCUGUUUAUCAACAAUCAGUUUCAUUGCCACGUUAAUUUUAGAAGACAAGAGAACACAUUUACAAUGAAUAUUUACAAAAUUAUACUUUGUGAGACUCUCAAUACAUGUAGAAAUACUAGAUAUUUAAAAUUAACUAUCUUACUUGCCAUUAUUUACAAAAUUAUCUUGGUUAUUGCCAUGUAACAGAUAAACAAAGAAGUACAUAACUCAGAGAUUUUAUAAAAUGUUCUUUAGAAAACUGAAUUGCAUAAUUAACUUCAGUACACCUGGAAAAUAAGAUAUACCUACAUGUUCCUGAAACUGACAGAUAUUUUUAUAUAAAAUGGAAACAAUUUAAUGUUUAUAAUCUAAUUUUUCUUUUAAAUGAAAAUAUGAUGUAAAAGAACUUUUAAAUGUCACGAUCUUCUCCCUAACAUGAUAAUAUAUACAUAAGGAACAAGAAUAUAGCUCAGAGAGUUUUAACUCAAUUAUGGUAAUUUGUCUUUAAGGAUCCCAGCAGUCCAAUGAAGACUCCAUAUGGGUGAACUAAAAAUAUCAAAAGAAACUGGUUCUAACCUCUAUCAUUCCGUUUAUCAACAGUUCUAUACAUUCACACUCAAAACGUUAUAAAGCAACUAUUAUAAACUCAGUUAUUUAAAAAAAAAAAGACCAAGCCAUAUAGUUUCUAAAAACAUUUGCAAAAGUUAAGCGUUUCAACCUUACAGUUUAAAACCGCAUGACUGAAACAUACGGAUGUCCACAAUCUCUAUAAACCAAAAAGAAUAAAGCUAAAGCAUCAUAUACUACAGACAUGAGAUCAGAAAACAUCCAACACCCUUGUCCAUAUCCGUCACCACAAACCACUGAACAUGCAAAAAACGCUAAUUACUAUACUGAUAAAAAAGUUCCUGAUAUUUAAAAGUAUAUUCUAUCAGCAAUGUCUACAUUUCUAGAAAGAAAAGGUGUUUUAAAGAUAACUAUAGUUCAACAUGAAUAUAUUUAGAGUGUGUGUGUGUGUUCAUGUGUGUGUGCAUGUGCCUGCAUAUGAAGAGGAUGUUUCUACAUGCCUAGGAAGUUAAGAUGUUAUACAAGAAGCUUGUCUAUCAUAUAUACAGCAGUCAAAUGCUUCCCUGCUCUGUCCCAACAUUUAUCAAUCAAAAAAUUAGAUAAGAAAAAUCAUACAAGUUACAUAUUUAAAAAUAUGAAUGGCAAUGACAUAUACUAACAAAAAAGAUCUAAUUAAAAAACUCAAAACACAAAAAUAAACAAAAACCCUUAAAAUCAAGCCAAACUCAUGAAUAUGCUCAUUCUACUGCACCUAUGUUCAAACAGUAAUUCUACCUUUAACAUUUCAAUAAAAACAUAUUUUCAAAAUUGACAGAAGUUACAUAUUCAAAAAUGUUUUAUAAAAUGACAUUUAUCUUCGAUACAUGAAUCAAAGUAAAAAUAUAAUCCCCAUCAACCAAAUACAUCCCAAAUGGACUCAGUAUAGGAAUUCAAUUUACCAACGUAAAGUGUUUUCACCUUUGUCUAUAUCGGUUUGAUCUUCAAAAAUGUAUGCCUAUUAGCAAAUCCUAUGCAGAUGUUAUAAAACAAAGACUAACAUUUGUCUACCAUAUAUCUAGCAGCCUCACAGUAUCCUCCAGGUACUAAAUAAAGUUCAAAAACUAAAACUUCCUAUAUCAUCUACCCUCAAACAACCCAAAGAACAUAGACUAAAGCCCGAAUGACAAUUAUUUGGCCAAAAAAUGAUGUUUCUAUUUUCUGAAUUUUAAUAAACACUUGUUUCAUACACAUAUAUGUACAUAUGUGCAUGCAUGUGUAUAUAUAUAUAUAUACACACAUACACACACCCCCAUAUGUAUAUGUAAGCAAUCCCUAUAAAUCAAGAACUGAAAGUUUAAAGCAAAACUAUUACAUAUUCUAACUUUUUACACACAACUAUCUAACAAAAACCCCUUCAGCUGCCCAAUUAUUUACUCAUAGUGACAAUGUGACAACCAUUUGGGUAAGUUUUCAUUCUACAAUUAAUAUACUUACGAAACAUGCAGAUAUAGUAUUCUUAUCCUUUAAAAAAUAACUAUGUCCAUUAUAUACACAUAAUACAUAAACAUUCUUUUGAUCGGCUCAUGAUUUAAUGAACUCAGAUUUGAUACGCCAUUGCUAACAUUUCCCAUAAAAACUUAUAAAUUGCUUAAUCAACUAAGUACUUUAAAAUAACAAUUCACUAUUAUUAAAAGUUAAAUUUCACCGGCAACUGAAAACUUUUGUAACCUAUGCUAUUUUACCACAAGUAGAGGUUUCUCUAUGUUAUACAAAGGACUGUGUUAUUUGUGUGCAAACGUUUCUAAAACCAAUAAGCAAAGGCAGACCACCAGUUACAAGGACAUUUCCACCAUGAUGAAUCUUGUCAUAAAACAAUGACAUGUUAGAUGAGAUACUACACAUUGUAUUUACCACAACCUAAAAAUAGAACCUACUGAUUCAAUGAACACAGAGGCUAGAUCUAACCAUCUCUUUUGGCAAACAAAAAUGGUUCUACCUUUAUAAGUUCAAAUGAAUUUACAAUGAUGUCUAUACAUGUAGAAAACUAGAUGUUAAACAAAAAUAUCUAACAUUAAUAACAGUUUAUAACAAAAUGUAUAACAAUAUCUACCAGAAAUGAAUUAAUGUUCAGAGGCAAUUUAAACAAUUGCAGUGGUGGAAGGGGAAAAGUCUACCUCUCUUUAACAUUAGAAUAUUUUACAAAACAUAUGUAGAUUACCAACAUCUGAGCAUGGAGUAACGCCUGGAGGCUGUUCAAGAACUCUCCUUGUAUAUAUGCAUGCAUAUAUACAUACACAGCCCUCCAAAACGUCUUAUUCUCUAUCUCCUGAAUUCAGCUCUUUUACAAAGCAGUCUAGAAACACCUCUCAGCAAGCAACAAAAUUAUAUUUUAACAAUUGAAAUGACCAAAAUGUCAGCCACUUCUAUGCUUGAUAAGAUGAUAUAACAGUACUUUUUUCAUGUGUAUACAGAGCAAUAAAAAGCCCACUCAACCCUGAACAGGCAAAGUGUUCAUUGAGGCUGGCCUCUUGUGCAACAAUCUCAUUUUGAGAAUAAAAUCUAAUGCCAUACAAAUUCUAACAUAUAAAGACCAUUUACAGAAUAACAUCUACAUCCACAUAAAGCAGCCUUAAUAAAAUUUCUUACAGACAGUUGUAUGCAGAACAAUCCUACUCCCCGCAAAAAACCCACAGCAAUAAUCCGAUCAAAUGAUUAUAAAUACACAUCAUUCAGAGGUAUUCUAAUUAUUCUAUUUCUAUAAUCAUCUAUUAAAAUAUUUCUAUGUAUUUUAGCAAACUCUGUUAGCAAUCACAAUACACUAAGAAAUGUCACAAAGCAAUUAUAUUGUUAUUUCAUACAAAGCAUUCUCAAAAUGCACAUGAAUAACUAGUGCCUUAACUUUUUUUCCUGAUUAACGUAUUAGACACUCACCAUGCCCAUUUCUUUUCUCCUAUCCAUAAGCGCUCAAACAAUGAAUAGAGAAUUAUGUAUAGCUUUACAAAAUGUCCACAGAAUUCCUUCCAAAAAUCUUUGUGAGAUACGAUUUUACCAAACAUAUUUUUAGAAACUUCCCUAGGAAACCAGCUCUAUUAUCACAGCAACGAUUUAAAAAGUAUCUAAAAAUAGUAGAUUCAUGUUUAUAAAUGUAAGUCUCUAUGCUUCAGUAUUAGAGUCCAAGAAAAACUAAGCUAAAAGAGAAUACAAUAAAACUAUCCCAUGUUGAAAUUUUCAUUCUCUUCAUUUCCUAAUAUGCAAUAUACAGUUCAUAUAUAUUCAUCAUUCACUUAGUAUAUUUCCAUUUCAAUCAUAUUACCCAAACACAAUUUUCCGAAGUAUUUCAAUAAAUUCUUAUGCUAUAUAUGUCCAGUAGUUAAUAGGAUCAGAUUCCAAGCUGCUUUAAAAUGCUAGCUCCAGCAGGGGUGUCGGAGGGGAGGCCCACACUAAGAUCUGUUUAUCACAUACACAUACAAAUAUCACAUAUGCAAGGCUUUUACUGGUAAAUCUUUUGAAGGCAAGUUGAUACUCCAUAGCAAGCAAGACACGGUUUUUCCCCCCUCAAAUCCAAAUGUAAACAUUUGAAAGGCAAGAUGAAGUUCAGAAGAGUAUAAAUCUAUUUUUAUUUUGUCUGUGAUGAUGUAGCUGGUGAAGUUUCUAGCUGAAUUCAAGAUGUGCUGUUCUUCCCUUUCUAUCCACAUAUUCCUGCAAGGUUGGCUUGUGUGUACUUGACAUUGUCCAGACUAGCCCAAUACUACUCUCGUUUUAUCCACUUGAAAUAAUUUUCAAUUCAGUAGAUACCCCCUCACACACUUCCAUUUUUGGGAGGAAUGCGGAAUGAGAUGCUGUCCUGAUGCUGUUGGACCAGGCAAAUGAGCAGAGUCGAGGAUCAAGAGAGUGGCUCUACACAGGUGCCCUGACCAAAGACCCCUUAAAUCAGCAUGAGGUUUAAACUUCGAUAGCAGUCUGUAAGUAAAAUUGCUCAGAAUACUCCAGAAGAAUUUGAAAACUACAGUUUUAUGAAUGCAGGAGCAGUCACUCAGGCUAGUCUCUCCUGCUUACUUACCUAUGUUAAUGGAAAAAAGAUUUGCAAAUCUACUCUAAAUCUUCCUGGGUUGCAGUCACGUUGCUUCCUGCUGUACAAACUUCUAAAGAUUCUUAUGCAGAGGCUAAGUGUGAAAGAAUGUCUCAAAAUUUAAGAAUCCAAAAGUUCAGUGACUAAAAGUGGAAAAUUUCCAGUUUUGACAGUGGCAAAAGAGGCUGUAAAUAUUAUCAGUUUAUAUAAUCCUUGUCCUCUGAUUAUUGCUUAUUUCUAAUACUCCUGAAACAUGUCAACUGCAGACUGAUGAAGAAACAUGAUGUGGUGGUCAUCUUUCCAAAAGACUGCUUUGGCAGAUAGAUGAAUUAGAGAAUCUGAGGCUAGAAGUAAAGCGACCAGUUAGAAGUUUUAAUACAGUUAAAAGACAACAAAACUCUCAAAUAGAAAGGUAGCUCAAAU
ensembl:lncRNA